rnacentral:rRNA from 1 species
UAGGGAAGUCUUUCGGCAAUGGACGAAAGUCUGACCGAGCAACGCCGCGUGAGUGAAGAAGGUUUUCGGAUCGUAAAACUCUGUUGGUAGAGAAGAACGUUGGUGAGAGUGGAAAGCUCAUCAAGUGACGGUAACUACCCAGAAAGGGACGGCUAACUACGUGCCAG